rnacentral:rRNA from 1 species
CUGGUUGAUCCUGCCAGUAGUCAUAUGCUUGUCUCAAAGCUUAAGCCAUGCAAGUCUCAGUACGAGCUGACUUAAAGUGAAACCGCCAAAGGCUCAGUAAACCGGUCAUAGUUUACCGGAUAUAGCCACUCACGUGGAUAACUGUGGUAAUUCUAGAGCUAAUACAUGCAAACAAGUCCUCUCCAGCGAUGGAGGGGACGCUUUUAUUGGAUCAAAACCAUUCGCCUGGUUCGCCGGGCGUCUGCUUGAUGACUCUAGAUAACACCACAGAUCGCACGGUCUUAGUACCGGUGACAUAUCCUUCAAAUGUCUGACUUAUCAGCUGUCGAUGGUAGACUCUGUGUCUACCAUGGCGCUCACGGGUGACGGGGAAUCAGGGUUCGAUUCCGGAGAGGGAGCCUGAGAAACGGCUACCACAUCCAAGGAAGGCAGCAGGCACGCAAAUUACCCACUCCCGGCACGGGGAGGUAGUGACAAAAAAUAACGAUACGGGACUCAUCCGAGGCCCCGUAAUCGGAAUGAGAACACUCUAAAUCCUUUAACGAGGAUCUAUUGGAGGGCAAGUCUGGUGCCAGCAGCCGCGG